AUACUACUCCCUCUGUCCCAAUUUUUUUUUGUUUUAGAUUUGUCUAGAUAUGAAUGUAUCUAGUCACGUUUUAGUAUUUAGAUACAUUCAUUUCUAAACAAAUCUAAGACAGAAUAUUGAGAUGGAGGGAGUACAUG
rnacentral:pre_miRNA from 1 species